CCUGAGUUCAAGUCUAAUUUCCUAGAGCUCAAAGCACCUAAAGCAAUGAGUUGCAGGAAGGAUGUCAACUAGCACUGGUAAAGGAAGCCUAAACUAGAAAAGAGGUCUUGACUCAAGUCAUAUUCUCUUGCCUUCACCACAAUGCCUCACUGGCAGGACCUGAUUUAGAUAUGGCCAAAACAUGACAAAUAAGAAACUAUUGAAAAAAAAAAGAAGACUAAAGGAUGGCAUCCAAGAAUUGAAUAACUGUAAGAGGAGCUGGUUACCUGGCAAAGAGACAUAACCUAAUGGGCGGUUGAUGUAUAUUCCACUGAUAUAGGGUUUAAAUUAAGGUCUCAGAGUGACAGCAAUGAUUGUAAAGAGAAAAUCCAGUCUGUGGGAGGAUAGAGCCCAAUGUCGACUUUCAACUUCAGCAUAUCUUCUUCACCAACACUGUGAAGGCUGGGAAACUAAUAAAAAUAAUU